ACAGCAGUAGCCGCGGGAAUACGAACCGUCCGAACGUUAUCCGGAAUGAUUGGGCGUAAAGCGUCUGUAGGUGGCUUUUCAAGUCAGUCGUCAAAUCCCUGGGCUCAACCCUGGACAAGCAGUGGAAACUACCAAGCUGGAGUAUAGUAGGGGCAGAGUGAAUUUCCGGUGGAGCGAUGAAAUGCGUUGAGAUCAGAAAGAACACCAACGGCGAAAGCACUCUGCUGGGCCGACACUGACACUGAGAGACGUAAGCUAGGGGAGCAAAUGGGAUUAGAUACCCCAGUAGUCCCUGUCUCUUAUAC
rnacentral:rRNA from 1 species